UGAAACAGGGAUCUGGAGCACAUCAUUUUUCACAGUAAAAGAAGAGAAAACCUAGUGCAUCACAUUCCAUGCCAAAAAACAAUUUAAACUUUGGGAGAGGAAUAAAGUGAUGAUACAAGUUUAAAUUCAAUAUACUAACAGGACCAUAUGAACCUCUUUUUCUUACCACCCUUGCGUUCAUCUGGCCAAUUCAGAGAUCCAAAAACUGGCCCUAAAAGUAUAGUCAGACAAGUCGUUAGCAAAAUAAGCAAAGGUGUUACUUUGGUGUAAUCAUAUUCCCUACAGUCAGUAGAUCACAGAACUUUCGGAUUCCAGGUCAUAAUUCUGCUCUAUCGUUGAGCUUUGUCUUUUACAAGAUGGCUGAAGCAAAUCCCUCACCAAUUACCCACAAAAUGCUAAAGAACUUGCGCUGGGUGUUGGUGGUCCAAUCAAAACACCGACUGUUGAACAGCAGAUAGAGUCAACAUAUCCAACAAAACCUUACCAUAGCCCAAAAGGUAACAACCAAUGCAAAGUAGAUGAUCAACACAGAAUCAAUUUUUCUAAGUAAUAUUCAUGCUGUUCUCAAACAAUGGAUAGCUCCAGGGAAACAAAACCUAAGUAAUUAAAGAAUCUGAAAACAAAAUAAACUGACAGAGAUCAAGCUUUAGAGAUAAAAGCUGAUCCAUGCCACCUCAUACAACAUUUUUGAGAAGUGUAAUCAACUCAUGCAUCAUCUAGGAAGGCUGCUUAAAGGGAAAUUGCGUAACGGGUUCUCCCUCAACAAUUCUGUCUCCCUGCACAUGAAAUAUGAGAAUAUGUCACCAGUUACAUCACACGAGCAGUGAAAUUGUGCACAUUAUGGAGUUGCAGUACGCACUUUUUGAUGUCUAGGCCAUCCCCCUGUCUGAGCUGCAAAGUUGAAGACUUGCCACUAUCACCGUGUGAUCUGUCUUGUCUGCCAAGAAAUUUGAACACAAAUUAGUAAAUAACAGAUGGGGGUGAGAAUUAUCAAAAAGAAGCAUAUAAUGUGUACAUAUUGAAGAACGGAGUCAUCAGUUGGCUUAGGACAGGCUGCCAUAUAUUCUCAAAUAAACAUAAAAUUACUCACUCCGCACACUCCUCAUCAACAAAUACUUCAAUG
rnacentral:misc_RNA from 1 species